GGCUUUUUGAUUAUAAUUUAAAGUCUGGCCUGCCCAAUGAUUUAUAUUUAAUGGCCGCGGUAAUUUGACCGUGCAAAGGUAGCAUAAUCAUUAGUUUUUUAAUUGAAAGCUUGUAUGAAAGGUUUGAUGAGAAAAUUACUGUCUCUAAUUGAAUAUUAGAAUUUUAUUUUUAAGUAAAAAAGCUUAAAUAAUUGUUGAAGACGAGAAGACCCUAUAGAAUUUUAUUUAUUUUUAAAUCAAUUAUAUUAAGAAUUAAAAAGAUUUAUUUAAAAAUAAAUUUAGUUGGGGUGAUUGAAAAAUUAAAUAAACUUUUUUUAGUAUUUUUACAUUUAUUUAUGAGUUUUUGAUCCUAUUUUAGAUUAAAAGAUUAAAUUACCUUAGGGAUAACAGCGUAAUCUUUUUUAGAGUUCUUAUUGAAAAAAGGGAUUGCGACCUCGAUGUUGGAUUAAAUUAAAUUAUUGGUGUAGGGGCUAAUAAAUUAGGUCUGUUCGACCUUUAAAAUUUUACAUGAUCUGAGUUUAAACCGGCGUAAG
rnacentral:rRNA from 1 species